GCUUUAUUAUCUCAGCUGGUAGAGUGUCGUACUUAUAUAAUAGUAAAUGAUAUGCGAAGGUCCCGAGUUCAAGCCUCGGAUGAAGCA